rnacentral:rRNA from 1 species
CCCUUAGAUGUUCUGGGCCGCACGCGCGCUACACUGAUGAAUUCAACGAGCUUAUAACCUUGGCCGAAAGGUCUGGGUAAUCUCCAAAUUUCGUCGUGAUGGGGAUAGAUUAUUGCAAUUAUUAAUCUUCAACGAGGAAUGCCUAGUAAGCGCAAGUCAUCAGCUUGCGUUGAUUACGUCCCUGCCCUUUGUACACACCGCCCGUCGCUCCUACCGAUUGAAUGGUCCGGUGAAGCGUUCGGACCGUGGCCUUUGGACGGUUCGCCGUCUGUUGGCUGCGGGAAGUUCGUUAAACCUUAUCAUUUAGAGGAAGGAGAANUCGUAACA